rnacentral:rRNA from 1 species
UACUAGAGUAGCACUCGCAUAUCAAUAAGCGGAGGAAAAGAAACUAACAAGGAUUCCCCUAGUAACGGCGAGUGAAGCGGGAAGAGCUCAAAUUUGAAAUCUUAAAGGGUUUCCCUUUACGAAUUGUAGUUUAAGGAAGUGUUUUCUGUUGAGGUUUUGGUAAAAGUUCUUUGGAAUAGGACAUCAUAGAGGGUGAGAAUCCCGUAUUUGACCUUUACUUUCAACUUUGUGAUACACUUUCAAAGAGUCGGAUUGUUUGGGAAUGCAGUCCAAAAUGGGUGGUAAAUUUCAUCUAAAGCUAAAUAUUGGCGAGAGACCGAUAGCGAACAAGUACCGUGAGGGAAAGAUGAAAAGAACUUUGAAAAGAGAGUUAAACAGUACGUGAAAUUGUCAAAAGGGAAGCGUUUGACACCAGUGUUGUUUUUCUGAAAAUCAAUUAAAGAACUGUUUAUGCUAAGUUGUUUAGACUUUAUCAGCUAUCUGCUUAGUUUUGAGCUUUUCUUUAAUGCACUUUUCAGUUAACAAGUCAACAUCAAUUUCUUUUGCUUGUAAAAAAGCUUGAGGAAGGUGGCUUGAGAUUCGUCUUAAGUGUUUAUAGCCUCUUGCCUAUGCAGUCGGAGAGAUUGAGGUCUGCAGCGUAGAUCCUUCGGGGCUAAAUGCAUUUGUGCUAAGUUAUAGCAUUUUAUAGACAACUUGUUGACUAUGAUUUGUCUUGUAGCUUACUCGCUUAUGUUAUUUUACCUACGCUUAGGAUGUUGAACUCUAUCACACACAG